rnacentral:rRNA from 1 species
UACGGGGGGGGCAAGCGUUGUUCGGAAUUACUGGGCGUAAAGGGUUCGUAGGUGGCCAACUAAGUCAGACGUGAAAUCCCUCAGCUUAACUGGGGAACUGCGUCUGAGACUGGAUGGCUUGAGUGCAGGAGAGGAACGCGGAAUUCCAGGUGUAGCGGUGAAAUGCGUAGAGAUGUGGAGGAACACCAGUGGCGAAGGCGACUCUUUGGUCUGUAACUGACGCUGAGGCGCGAAAGCGUGGGGAGCAAACAGG